GCAUUAAUGAUGGAAAACAGAAUAUUCUAUUCUAGAAGGAGGCUCUUGAGAACCAGCGUCACCCAGCGAUUACAGAAGCCUCCGGAUCCAUCAACUCAACUUACUUGUCACGCGACACUAGUGGCACUAUUACUUGAACAGAGAAUAUUCUAAUCCAGGCAGAGGCUCGUGAGAACCAGCUUCACCCAGCGAUUAGAGGUAAGCUCAUUGCAUAGCCC
rnacentral:lncRNA from 12 species